rnacentral:rRNA from 1 species
GACGAACGCUGGCGGCGUGCUUAACACAUGCAAGUCGAACGGAAAGGCCCUGCUUUUGUGGGGUGCUCGAGUGGCGAACGGGUGAGUAACACGUGAGUAACCUGCCCUUGACUUUGGGAUAACUUCAGGAAACUGGGGCUAAUACCGGAUAGGAGCUCCUGCUGCAUGGUGGGGGUUGGAAAGUUUCGGCGGUUGGGGAUGGACUCGCGGCUUAUCAGCUUGUUGGUGGGGUAGUGGCUUACCAAGGCUUUGACGGGUAGCCGGCCUGAGAGGGUGACCGGCCACAUUGGUACUGAGAUACGGCCCAGACGCCUACGGGAGGCAGCAGUGGGGAAUAUUGCACAAUGGGCGGAAGCCUGAUGCAGCAACGCCGCGUGCGGGAUGACGGCCUUCGGGUUGUAAACCGCUUUCGCCUGUGACGAAGCGUGAGUGACGGUAAUGGGUAAAGAAGCACCGGCUAACUACGUG